UACGUAGGGGUGCGAGCGUUGUCCGGAAUUAUUGGGCGUAAAGAGCUCGUAGGCGGUUUGUUGCGUCGGCCGUGAAAACCUGCAGCUUAACUGUGGGCCUGCGGCCGAUACGGGCAGACUUGAGUUCGGUAGGGGAGACUGGAAUUCCUGGUGUAGCGGUGAAAUGCGCAGAUAUCAGGAGGAACACCGGUGGCGAAGGCGGGUCUCUGGGCCGAUACUGACGCUGAGGAGCGAAAGCGUGGGGAGCGAACAGG
rnacentral:rRNA from 1 species